GCGAGGUGUGGCAGGGCUGGAGUCCGUAAAGACAGCCCAAGAGAAGCAUUGGUAAAACUGUAGCCCAGAUGCAGCAAGGGACCCCAGCAUUUUGGAGAUGCCAGUACCAUGGGAUGACCACCAAGAACAGCAGCCAGACAGAGCCUAGAAGAGCAGCUGUGUGUGCUGCAGAGGGCAGGCCCAGAGAGGUGAACCAAGCUCCUCUGAGGAGCCCAGAAUAUUGACUUGCUCAGCUUACUUCCUUAGACAACCCAGGACCACCUGCUCCAGGACGUCACUGACCGCAGCAGCCCAGGCCCUCCCACAUCAACCAGCAAUCAAGAAAAUGCCACGCAGACAUGCCUACACGCCAACUGAUGGAUGCCACGCAGACAUGCCUACACGCCAACUGAUGGAUGCAAUUCUUCCAGCUGCAGCUCCCUAUCCCCAGGUGACUUUAGUUUCUAUCAAGUUGACGGAAACUAACCAGCACACAUGGCAGUGAAGAGUCAGCAAGACAAUUAUGCGGAUGCUGGCAUCAACUCUUGUUAGCUGCUAACCGGUCUCGGUGGAGCCGCAAUUUCUCAGCCUUCCUAAUGCUUGACCUUUAAUUGUGGUGACCCCAAUCAUACCACUGUGUGAGCACUACUUUAUAACUGUAACUUUGCUACUGUUGUGAAUCAGAACGUAAAUACCUGGUAUGCAGGACGCCUGAUAUGCAACCCUGGGAAAGGGUCAUUUUACCCCAAAGAAGCCAUGAGCCACAGGCUGAGAACCAACGCUGUGGAGCGUCUGCACACUGAUCUAUUCCCAACACCUCUCUGCACACUGCUCUCCUAUUCCCGACUUCCCGGAGCAUCUCCCCGUAACUGCACUCCCAGGCAUAGAAUAUGCAGGCCGGAGAGAGAAGCAUCUAAGUAAGAUGUGAAUCCGUUUAGGCUUUGUCCCAUUUACAGUCCUGUUUCUGGUACUGCUGGAAGACUGUGCCCUUGUCCUUUAGGAUAUCUACUGCUGUUUAAAACACCGUGACCAAAAGCAACUUGGGGACAAACAGGUUUAUUUCAUAUUACACUUCUACGUUAGAGGCCGCUGUUGAAGGAAGUCAGGCCAGAAACUCAAGUCAGGAGCGCGGAGGCGGGAGCCGAUGCAGAGACCAAGGAGGGUGCUGCUUGCUGUCUUGUUCCCCAUGCCUUGCUCAGCCUGCUUUCUUAUACAAACCAAGACUGUCUGCCUAAGGGUGGCACCACCCACAGUGGGCUGAACCCUCCCACGUCAACCAUUAAUAAACUAAAAUGCCCAGCAAACUCACCUACAGACCAAUUUUAUGAAAGCAUUCUCUCAAGAUUCUCUUCCAAGACAUCUCUAGGUUUGUGUCAAGCUGAUAAAAACCAAACAUCAUGGUCCAUGAUCCUGGCCAGUUCAGAGAAGGCCCAUCACAGCUAUGAACAUCAGGCUAAGACUUUCUGUUGUAAGUGCUGGUAAAGGAAGCUCCCCCUGCCUCCCAGGGGUUAAGUCCAGACUGCUCACAAGCUAUUUUGAAUGAGAGAAGUGUAUUGUGUGAGCACAUAAAUCUAGUUUUACCUGAAGCUGGAAACUAUCAACAUUUUGAACUACAUUAACUCAAGUUACUUGGCUUUCUCUUCAUCUAUUACAACAACAACAAUUCUUAAAUAACACAGUAGGGAGGAUUACAAACCAACAGAGAGCAGCAGUGAGUGAAAUCUAGGAUUACAUCAUCAUGACAGUUUUCUGUGCCUUCUACUUUUGUGACUAUGAUUGACUACUUAAUUCCUCAACCACAGUUUCUCAGAUUCAGAAUAGGAGAACCAGUAGUCUUGCCUAGUGGGACUCUCAGAUCAAAAAAAUCAAACAGGUUAGUUUAGGAAACCAGCUUAGCAUGCUGCCUGAGAAUAAGCACUCUAAAAUGCAUUAUGGUUUUUUAUUCCUCAUCAGCUUUAGACGUCAAAACACUGGGUCUUGGAAAGGCAUCCAGAAGCCUCACAGAAUAGUAUCAUUGUCAUCUGCCUGUCCAGCUACAUUUGGACACAGAUCUGCUGGCUUGGUGUACAAGCAGGACUUCAUAUCUUUAUACCUUCUAUUCUUGUGACUUAAUGGUUAAUGCAGAGAGCCAGCAGAAUGGGACUACUCCAUCAGGAAGCAAUUUCCGGUUUUAUAUGCUUACUUAGACCAGUUUGUAAGAUACGAAAUGAGUGAGAAGAGGUAUCUCCUGUUACAGGAAAACACUUUCUUAGACUGCAUGUGCCUUUAAACAGUACUACUGAGAAUUUUGUUAUUUCUCUGCAAAGAUGUGAUCACAGUAUUACAAGGAAGACAUUGUUAGUUGCACAAUACCCUUCAUUCAGCUCUUUUGAAGCAAGUAUUGUGCGUGUCUUGUGUAAGUAUAACCACAUGUUACAUUGGAGAACUAAGAAAAGAUGUAAAUCAGUGUGGUGAGGAAAAUCAGGGAAAGACUGACCUUUCUGGUAAAGUUUAACACCAUUCUCUUUUAGGUAGUAUUGUAUAAUGUAGGCUUGUGUCAUAGGAAAAACUCUAGAGAAAGCAAGUAAGUGUUACAUAAUUUAAUAUUUUUUUAAUUCAGGUAAUUAAUCACAGCUUAAAGUAGACAGUUGUACACAUCUGUCAAUGUCUCUCCAUUUGUGGUGUUUUUAAUGUCUAUCUGCCUCCCUUGUCACUGUCAAAUAGUUUGCUGGUUCCUAUAUAGCUACUGAAAACUAACCCUUUUUAACAUCUUGCUUCUCUCCCACCGUGGAGGAAGAAAAUGGAUUUGCUCUAGAACAAAUGUAGGCAGAAGCAGGCUCUGAUUGAGUCAUUUUCCUAAGGUGGAUUGGGUGAAUUUAGCAUGAAGGCUGUGAUUUUGUUUCCUAUGCAAUCCAAGACUGAUGGUUUUCUUCUGAUUUCUUUUUCCAAGCAUGCCUACAUGAGGAUGACCUUUGGGUGAUAUUUUUGCAAAAAAUAAAAUUUCCAGGGACUUUUAAUGUAGCUAGAAUCUGUACUUAUGUAUGAUUUAUUCCUGAUGGCUAAUGACCUACCCGUGGGUGUUUAAUAACCGCAGAAUAAAACCGCAGAAUAAAAAGUUC